UGGGGAAUAUUGGACAAUGGGCGCAAGCCUGAUCCAGCCAUGCCGCGUGAGUGAUGAAGGCCUUAGGGUUGUAAAGCUCUUUUAUCCGGGACGAUAAUGACGGUACCGGAAGAAUAAGCCCCGGCUAACUUCGUGCCAGCAGCCGCGGUACUACGGAGGGUGCAAGCGUUAUCCGGAAUCACUGGGCGUAAAGGGCGCGUAGUCGGUCUGUUAAGUCCGAUGUUAAAUCCCGGGGCUCAACCCCGGAUAAGCGUUGGAUACUGGCAGGCUAGAAGGUUGGAGAGGCGAGUGGAAUUACCAGUGUAGCGGUGGAAUGCGUAGAUACUGGUAAGAACACCCAUUGCGAAGGCAGCUCGCUGGACAACACGUGACGCGGAGGCGCGAAAGUGUGGGGAGCAAAC
rnacentral:rRNA from 1 species